rnacentral:rRNA from 1 species
UACGUAGGUGGCAAGCGUUGUCCGGAUUUAUUGGGUUUAAAGGGUGCGUAGGCGGCCUUAUAAGUCAGUGCUGAAAUAUCCCGGCUUAACCGGGAGGGUGGCAUUGAUACUGUAGGGCUUGAGUAAAGUUGAGGUUGGCGGAAUUGACGGUGUAGCGGUGAAAUGCUUAGAUAUCGUCAAGAACACCUAUUGCGAAGGCAGCUAACUAAGCUUUAACUGACGCUGAUGCACGAAAGUGUGGGGAUCAAACAGG